rnacentral:rRNA from 1 species
UACGUAGGGUGCAAGCGUUGUCCGGAAUUAUUGGGCGUAGAGAGCUCGUAGGCGGCUCGUCGCGUCUGCUGUGAAAGCCCGGGGCUCAACCCCGGGUCUGCAGUGGGUACGGGCGGGCUAGAGUGCGGUAGGGGAGACUGGAAUUCCUGGUGUAGCGGUGAAAUGCGCAGAUAUCAGGAGGAACACCGGUGGCGAAGGCGGGUCUCUGGGCCGUAACUGACGCUGAGGAGCGAAAGCAUGGGUAGCGAACAGG